CGUCAAAAACGGUAAAAAACUUCUUAGUUUUAAUCUCAUUUUAGACGACCUCACGCUAAUUUGAGUUUGUAAAAAUAAAUUAAAUACCAUUUUAGUUGUGUGCAAAACGGAGUAUAUUCUAACGGAAUCGCAAUUCGCGACCGAAAUCUGAACAGCCAGCGUUGGAAUAAUAAUAUAUACCUGUAUACCUAACCGAUUAUUAUCGAAAAUUUUCGGACGACUUAUCUUU